rnacentral:lncRNA from 1 species
GAACGAACAAUACAGUAAGAGAAAAUUUAUUUACUAUGAUAUUGCGUUUAUUCUUAGUUCUAUGGAACAUUUGAAGGCACGUAGUAAUUCAAUGUAUAGUUAUUUAUUAUUUCUUAAGGUAUUAAUACGCAAAGGUGUAUGCACGAAAAGAUAUUCAGCAUUGUUUACCUCAUAAAACGUAUGAAAUUGCACCAUGUCUGUGCGUUUUGCAUCUAGCAGUUUUAUCAAACGUUCUAUGUAAUAU